rnacentral:lncRNA from 1 species
UGUACCCGGCGCCGCGCCCCCAGAUCUGCAUCGGAAUGUAGAAAAGAUCUUAAAAAAAAAAAAGUUUUGAAUUCCUCAAUGAUUUUUCUUCUAGAAAGGCAGCUUAGGAUAAUUAUUUCAGCUUUAUUGAGAGCAGAUUAGUUGAAGUCUGGGCGCUGAGUUUCAAUACGCGUUGUACAUGGGCCGACAAUGUGG